UCGUGGGGCAGCAGGGGCGUAGCAAUACGUUCGCUGGCGACCGGCAAACGGGUGCGGAACACGUACACAACCUUCCUUAAAGUGGGGGAUAGCCCGGGGAAACCCGGAUUAAUACCCCGUAACAUAGUGAAGUGGCAUCGCUUUAUUAUUAUAGCAGCAAUGCGCUUAAAGAUGGGUGUGCGACUGAUUAGGCAGUUGGCGGGGUAACGGCCCACCAAACCUACGAUCAGUAACUGGUGUGAGAGCACGACCAGUCACACGGGCACUGAGACACGGGCCCGACUCCUACGGGAGGCAGCAGUAAGGAAUAUUGGUCAAUGGACGCAAGUCUGAACCAGCCAUGCCGCGUGGAGGAUGAAGGUCCUCUGGAUUGCAAACUUCUUUUAUCUGGGAAGAAAUCCACAAAUUCUUUUGUGGUUGACGGUACCAGAUGAAUAAGCACCGGCUAACUCCGUGCCAGCAGCCGCGGUAAUACGGAGGGUGCAAGCGUUAUCCGGAUUCACUGGGUUUAAAGGGUGCGUAGGUGGGUUGGUAAGUCAGUGGUGAAAUCUCCAGGCUUAACUUGGAAACUGCCAUUGAUACUAUCAAUCUUGAAUACCGUGGAGGUCAGCGGAAUAUGUCAUGUAGCGGUGAAAUGCUUAGAGAUGACAUAGAACACCAAUUGCGAAGGCAGCUGGCUACGCGGAUAUUGACACUGAUGCACGAAAGCGUGGGGAUCAAACAGGAUUAGAUACCCUGGUAGUCCACGCCCUAAACGAUGGAUACUCGACAUACGCGAUAUACUGUGUGUGUCUGAGCGAAAGCAUUAAGUA
rnacentral:rRNA from 1 species